AUCCAGCUGACGAGUCCCAAAUAGGACGAAACGCGCCACAAACUAGAU
rnacentral:hammerhead_ribozyme from 1 species